CUUGACGAUCAUAGAGCGUUGGAACCACCUGAUCCCUUCCCGAACUCAGUAGUGAAACGACGCAUCGCCGAUGGUAGUGUGGGG
rnacentral:rRNA from 1 species